GAAGACAAUCCUUUCAUUCUGGCCCCUGCUGGCUUCUGGCCCUUCCCGUCUCAUUUGCUGACGGAACUCAGCCUCCCCUCCUGCAGGAAGAGAGCACUUGGGAUUCCAGCACCGCUGGGGGUCAGAUCCUUCUAAAUUUUCUCUCCUUUGAAGAGCUGGUUAGAGUGGAAGCAGCUCAGACCAGGAUGUUAGGCAGGGCUGUGUCUUGCAUCCCAAAUUUGUCACAUAAUAGCUGCACGACCAACUGUCCCGGUUUGCCCAGCCCUGUCUUAGUUGAAAGUCUGGUGUGCUAGGAAACCCCUCCUUUUGGAGCGAUCUGCGGUGGUUUGUCACACUGGUUUUCUCAACCUCUCUGAGCCUAGCUCACUCUUCUGUGAAGUGGGGUGAUCGUGGCUACCCUGAAGCUGUGAGGAUCAGAUGGUGCAUGGAUUGGCAAGUGCGAAUCAAUGGAAGCUUCACUCCCUGAGAGUACACAGUGGGUGCCCCCGGCAGGGCACCCACUUGUGGGUGCUGUCCCACCAGGUCACUUGGAUGUUUUCCAUCUGUGAUGUACUUUUACCCCGCCCAAUAAUAUCCUUUCCAUCCCGCCGUUCCUCACCUACUGUCUAGCUGCUUCUAGUGGGGUACCUGUGUAACUCCCCAAGAAAGACAGGCAGGGCACUGCCAAGGAACUGAGUCUGUGGGCUGGGGGACUAGGGGUGCCUCCAGAUGUCCUCAGGGCCAUCUCCAGCGAGAGGCACCAGGGUCCUGGUUCCAGGGUCCUGGGGAAUUCCACCUGGGACACUGCUCCUUUACCAGGUGCCAAGGUUUGAAAGCAGAUGAGUGAAUUUAGGAGACACCUCUUCAUCAUUGGCAGCCACAGAGGUUCCUGCAGGAGGAGAAGAGGGUGAUGAGCUACACAACCAGGCCACGGCCAAAGUCUCUAGAUUAGCCUCAGUGAAUCAGAAGACGAGGUUUGGAUUGAGGACCUGAGCUUUCUGCACAAGAACUGACCACAAUGGAGGGGCAGAAUAGUGCCAGUGUCCUGAUCUUUCCCUGGCCCUUUCCUCCUGGUGCCAUGGCUGUGCCUUUGAGACAUGGCUGCCUGGUAUAAGUCCAAAGGGUUGAUGCCCAGGCUGGGUUCACAGACAUGUAUGUACUUGGUGGAGAAUCCAGAAAAGACUGCACUGCUGAAUGUCCCAAGUCAUCACAAUUUAGAAAAGAAUGGCAUCAAACCCUUGCCCGACAUGAGUGUUGCAUCACUCAGCAUCCCUAAAGGGUAAGUACAGUAUAUGAUCCUCCAUUUGGCAGGUGAGUAAACUGAGGCACAGAGUGGUCUGGCACGCUGCUCACUUGUACAUAGCCCAUACAUGAUGGAGCUGGGGGUUCCAACCCAGGAGGUCUAAUUCAGAAUCCAGAGUUUCAAUGCCUACACUAGACAACCGUCUGAUGUGGGGGAAUCUCUGGAGUCAUCUUGCUGUUAUCUAAAGCACAUUCUGAUGAUGGAAGCUAAGAGUAAUACAAGGGACAGACUGAGAGGUAGUGAGCGACCCAUCAUGAGAGAUAUGUAAGCAGAGACAGGAUGCCACUUGGAAGGGACCAUGGCAAAGCUGAGUCCUUGUACCUCGGGAAUCCUAAGAAACAACAGAAAAGGAAAGUCGUGGUUGCAUAAAUUAUUCAGAAGCUGUAAAAGGCUCAGAAAUCUCAUUAGUGUGUUUCUUUUCUCAGGGAGUAAAUAUUUUAGGCUUUCAGGCCACUUGCUUCCCUUCUAACUUUUCAACCUCGUCAUUGAAAACAGCCGAAGAUGACGAACAGGAGGGACCCUGGCUGGAGCCCCGCGCUGAGCUCACACCGGGCUCCCAAGCGGUAUGCGCCCUCCAGCCCCCACACUUCUGCCCCACUGUCCACACUGCCUGCAGGGGUCUCCUCUCCUGCUGCCUGCCUCUGGCCAGCCCCUUCCUCCGGGGCUGUUCCCUGGUCCCCUUCACUUACCUGCAUCUCCUCCCACCUCCCCAGAACAGCUGCCCUCCCCACUCAGUCUCUAUCUAAGCCCCGACUCCAGUAUUCCCAAUGACCCCAGCCAGCUGCUCUCCACUGCUACCCAGUGUCCCCCACAGGGGUGGCGAGUCUCUGGAAGAAGGUGGUGGCUCAGUAAGUACUUGGAGCUUGGUGGUUCCCAUGGGUGGGAUGGGGCACGGAAGUCCGGGGGGUACAGAGAUCAGGGGCUUGAGGCAGCAAAAGAAUUGGAGUGAGUUUGAGUCUCAGGCAGGAGGAGACCUGCAGAGUGUGAGAUUCUCAGGGCUGGAACUGCCAGAAGCCUAUGGGGCCUGUUUCCAGAGCUGCCUCCAAGAGAGAAGUCCCACCCACUCUAAUUCCAGCUCCUGCUUGUCUAAACCCCUCAAGCAAGACUCUUUCAGUGAAUGAAAGCUGACAAAAUUAUUGUUCCACUUCCUGGCCCAGCUCUAUGGGAUUAUUUGAAGCCCCAGUCAUUGGACCUGCAGGAUUCCCUGACCAGAGAUGCUCUUCCCAAGCGGGA